ACGCUCGACACCUACGGGAGGUAGCAGUGGGGAAUAUUGCACAAUGGGGGAAACCCGUGAUGCAGCGACGCCGCGUGAAGGAAGAAGUAUCUCGGUAUGUAAACUUCUAUCAGCAGGGAAGAAAGUGACGGUACCUGACUAAGAAGCCCCGGCUAACUACGUGCCAGCAGCCACGGUAAUCUGAGCGGGCUGGCAAGGC
rnacentral:rRNA from 1 species